GCUAAACGGAAUCUUGGUCGGUGGAAGGACGCCCCGGGGUGAUGGUUGGCAGCCUGCAGACUCGGGUGCUACAGAGGAUAAACUUGACCUGCGAGGUGGAACAGCCGGGUUUGUGAAUCUGAAGAAAGUAAUGGACUGUGCCUAUUUGUACCCACCCAGCUGGCGCGCGAAGGAUCUAUUAAGGGGUCUCAGUUUCGCGUUCUGGGAGCAGAAUCAGGUUGAGCUUUGCGGAGGGGUCUCCAACCCCCGGGGCCACACAGCAGGAGAUGAGCGGUGGGCAAGCGAGCGAAGCUUCAUUGGCCGUUCCCCAUCGCUCGCAUUACCGCCUGAACCACACCCCCCUUCCGUGGAAAAAUUGUCUUCCAGGAAACCGGUUCCUCGUGCCAAAAAGGUUGGGGACCGCUGCUCUAAAUCACCUCCUCCUCUCACUGUCUCCACGGUUCUUUGUAAUGACCAAGAUCUAAAUAAAAUUUAAGGUCUUAGCUGCGGCGUGCGGGAUCUUCACUGUGGCAUGCGGGAUCUUUUUAAGUUGCGGCAUGCAGGCUCUUAGUUGCAGCAUGCAGGAUCUAGUUCCCUGACCAGGGAUCGAACCCGGCCCUCCUGCAUUGGGAGCGCGGAGUCUUAACCGCUGGACCACCAGGGAAGUCGCUUCCUUGAACUUUUAAUUAUUUUUAUUUUAUAGGUAUAAAAGUAGAUGAUUAAAAAACAUUUUCUUUUUCAUUUCCUUACUGAACUCUUAUUAUUACUAAUGUGUUUAAAUUGAUUCUUGUAGGUUUUCCAGGUAAGCAGUCAGCUGCAGUUAAUUUUAACUCAGAGAAAAGAAUAGGGACUUUGGAUUUCGGCAGACCUAGGUUUUUCUCCAUAUUCUGCCACUUACUAUGUGAACUUGGGCAUUUCUCAACCUGUGAUUCUUUUCCUAUUUGUUUAAAAAAAAAAAUCAGUACUAACUACUCAUAUAGUUAGAGUACCUAGCACAUAGUAAGUACCCAAGACACGUUUUAGCAAGCAGUAUUCCAGUAUAUAUAUACCAUUUCUCUGGAUUUUAGGCUUUUAAAUUUUUCUUUUUUUAAAAAAAUUUCUUUAUAUAAUGGUCCUUCUCUAAACGUAGAUCUAGUUUUGAAUAGUUUUAGCACAAUUACAUAAUUUA